AGAAACAUAGCUUAAGGUUCCGUCCAUUUCUUCUUAUUUUUUUCGGUCAAAAUACGUGAACACCCGGCCCAAACCCAAGGCGAAGAUGAACAGCCCUCACGAUGGUCCUCCCCAAUUCAAGGCUUAAGCAGGGUUAUACCUAUACGGCGUGCGUUUCUCUCCGCCCUCUACAUUAUUUUCCUCUCUUUACCGUCUCAGCCAUUUCUGUAUCCCUAGGAACAGAGGUGGAAGCUUUCAGUUCUAAACGGCGUGUCAAGGUUUGAAAAUUCGUUUUCAAUUUCUAAAACUACUGUUUAUUUUAUGUUACAUCUUGAUGCUGGAUUUGCUUCUUGUAAAUAGAAAGAAAAGAUAGUUGUUUUUUUAAUAGAAUAAAUAGAUUUUUUACUUGUUCUUCCCAAUUCUAUUUAUUAAAAUCUACUCAAGUUUUAGCUUCAUUUUUCUGUCAAUGUUGUUGCUCAACUUCCUUUUACUGGGUUGGCUUGUAGGACUUGAGUUUUUUAUUAAGUUCUCUCUGUCAAUGGGCGGCUUGGAAGGUUUAAAUCAUGGUUGGUAAGGCAUCGCCUAGGCGUCGAUUAGGCGUCCAAGAGGUUACUCAAGGACUAGGCGAGGAUACGCUUUAGUUGAACUUCGUAGUCGAACGCCUCGGCAGUCAAGUCGUCGCUUUUGGUCGCCUAGGCGACGACUCGAUCGACUUACUUUUACGGAUUACCCAGAACUUUGAGAGAGAGAAAAAGAUGAAGAGAGAAACUCUUAAUAUUAUACACGCAGACCUGUUCGGGAAUGACUUAUUUUAAAUGACUUAUAGGUUAUUUUAAAUUGUGACUCAUAAAUAAAAACAUUGGAUAUUAAUUUGACUUAUAAGUCAAAAUUAAGUUAAAACAAGUUAGGAAGAUGUUCGGCUUAUAAUGACAAUAAAUGUAAAAAUUAUUAAAAAGGACAUUAAUAAAAAGAUGGGCAAAAUAGAAGAGUGACAAAAUAAACAUUUUAUUUUGUCAAACUAACUUAUUUUAAAAUGACUUAUAAGUCAUUUUAAAAUAAGUUAUAAAUACUUAUUUUUUUGACUUAAAACUCAACUUAUAAGUAGAAAAUAAGUCAUUUCCGAACAGGUGAAUAGUAACAAAUGACUUAUAAGUUAGUUUGACCAACUUACAAGUCAUUCCUGAACAAGCUAUGUUGAUUUAUGGUUUGGCUUUUAUUUUAGUAUCAAUAAGACUUGGCAGACAGCUUUCUUGGACAGGAAAAUUGGACAUUUUCAUUUUCAUUUUCAUUUUCAUUUUUUUUUUGAUUGUGACUACCAAAAAAUGUAUAGUAUUUAUUCCAACAUGAAUUUUAACAAAAUACAGUGUUUUAGAUGUAUAACCUUGUUUUUGUAUAUGUAUCCAAAUUACACCUAAAACACUGUAUUUUGUAAAAAUUCCUGUUAGAAUAAAUACUAUAUAUUUUUUGGGAGUCGCAAUAAAAAAUAAAUAAAUGAAAAUGUCCAAUUUUUCUGUCCAAGAAAGCUGUCAGUAGAAGGACUCUUUUAGUAUGGUUGUAUACGUGUAUGUGUCAAUAUAAUUCAUUUAUUAGCCUUCGCUAAAGGUUUACAUCUGAUUAUAAAAAGUACUGUCCAUGUAGGUCCAAAUGUCUCCCACUCAAGAUAUACUCCUCGUUUAGUGGUUUACCAAGACUAAUAUGUGAUCAUAUAAGUUGCUAAGUGUUAGCUCCAAGUUACAACUUUUAAUAAAAAUAUUUUAAAUUUUAGGUUUAUUUAUUAUCUGGCAUUUAAAUUCCCACUUAAUAUACCUAGUAAUUAUAUUUUAUAUUCAAAUAUAUCCUAAAAGUUUGACAUUCUUUCACUACACACUCUUGAACUUUCGUUCUUUAUAGUUUUGGCCCCUUUUAUAGUAAAAAUAAAAACAAAAAAUGACUAGUAUAUGUGUGUAUAUUUGUGUGUAUAUAUAUGUAUAUAUAUUAUAACUAUUAUUUCAAGUUUUAAUGCAUAUAAUUUUCCUAAGUUUAAUGUAUUUGACAAAUACAAUACAUAUAAAUUGUGCAUUGUUAACGACUUGUCGCCUUGUGGACGACUAGUUGGGCAUCUUAUGUGCUCCUGACUACCGCCUCGCCUUGACUUGUCGCCUUGACUACUAUGGUUUAAAAUCUUCUAUUUUAUUAUAUUUGUCAAUGUUGCUCACAACCUUUUUGAUAAUAUGCCAAUCUCGUCAUUAGGAUUUUGUAUUUCAUGAUGUUUAGGAUUUUCGUUCUGGUAUUUUAUACAUAUUUGAUCUGUUCAUAUGUCGUACUACAAUGGUUGUUGAUAUGUUUCAUAAAUGGUUUCCAUUGUCGUCCUGGUAGAAGUUCUCAUCUUGAUGAAUCAUAAAAUCUAUUGAGUAACUCUAAGAUGCCUAAUUCUUAACAUUAUUUGGUGUUUAUGAGGUGUGGUGUUUGGAUUAUGAGAAAGCUAGAGAAAAUGGGGAAAUGGGGAUAUGAACAGUAAGGGAGAAGGAAACGAUGAAGGAAGAGAAAAAGAGAAAGAAAAAAAGAAAGAAAGAAAUUCACUUAAUCUAUUACUACUAUAUAUAAGCAAGGUAAUCGGAGAUUUUAUCCAAAUUAAUCUAGUCAUUUUGGUUGGUCACCGAGUUGGUGCGAGUUAGUCACGUGUUCAAUAUCUCUAAUGGUAUAGUGUAUGUCAUUCAAAAUUAUACAAAAUUUUUCGUAUCCUUUGUAUUAUUUCAAAGAUGUACAUGCAUGUAUUAAAAAAUAUAUACAAUGAUUUUGAUAUACAUACAAGUUCAAUGUAUCACUAUCAUCUAUAUUAUACUCCCUCCAUUCCUAUUUAUUUGACAUUUUACUGUGUUGCACACUUAUUAAGGAAUCAUUUAUUACUCUAAUUUUAUCAUUAAGAUUGAUAUGUAUUACCACAAAUAUUCUUGCAUAUAUUAAGGAAAUAUGUAUAAAGUUGCUUAGACAAAUAAGAGAGAAAUUAUGAGAGAAGAUACUUACGGGCAAAAAGGAAGAAUUGUAAUUAAUGCUUCUUAGAAAUUUUGCUAACGUCAAAUAUGUAGAAAAAUUUUGAACUGCCUAAAACAUCUAAUAAAUGAGAAUGGGGAGAAUAUUAUUUAUAAUCAAAUUAUAAUACCAAAUAUCACACACCAUAAUUAUUUUAAAUUGUAUUCUCCCAUAUUAAUCCGUGACUAGCAUGGACUAUCAGUCUAGUGUCACAAAAACACACAUCUUGAUAUCUAGAGACUAGAUACAAAUACAUUACGCUACCCUAACAAAACAAGGAAACAAUACAAAUCCCACAAAGAAACAGAAUAACAGACAAGCACCACCACUACAAAGCCCAACCUCCUAGCAAAAAACUUUAUUCACCUAGAUACCAGUUUUUCACAAAACAAUAACCAUGCUAUAUACCUCAAGACUUUUUGGUCACUGGUCUUUAUUUCCCAACACCAGUUGGCAUCAGGAUAUUGUUCCUAAUGCGUUGUAAAUUUGCAAGAACAUGACUAAUAUUUAUCCUGUCUGUUGGAGAUUCGGCAGUGCAACUUCAUAUAUUGCAAUCAAGCAUUCCUGAAUCUUUUGGAUACUCUCCUUUUCUCCUUCUUGCGGUAGAAGUGCUUGAUCCGAAAUUUCCACUACUCUGUCAGGGUAACCUAUCUUAACAUAGUUUUGGAGGUUCAUAUCACCGUUACACAUGUUAUCUGUGGGCCUUUUUCCAGUAGACAUCUCCAACAAGAGGACACCAUAGCUGUAAAUGUCACCUGCUGUUGAUACCUCAGUUCCCAUACCAGACUCUACACAAUUCAUUAAUGUGAAUCAUUAUAAGAAAUCCCAAUAAAAUGGCAUUGACAAAAUUUGUCAAAUAAUUAAGGUCAAGAAGAACGACUAUGAUCAUAAAAUAUGUGCAAGUAUGUAGAAUAAAUCUCGGCAUACUAACAACUUGCAAACAAACUAACAAUUAGUGGAGGACAACUAGAUUUUUCAUCACAAGAUGUGGGCCAUCCAGUAGUAUUAUUACAGUGGAAAAUCUAGUUGUUCCCUACUAAUUGUUAGUUUUUUUUUGUAAAUGGUUAGUAAGCCAAGAUUUAUUCAGGCAACAACACGAAUGCUAUAAUGCGACUAAACAUUCGAUAGGGUACACAAUUCAAAUAGCACAUUAGAUUUACACUAAAUCUUAUAUCACCGUCUAACUUUUAAAAAUAAACUUAAAAAGCCUAAACUACUAGAUCAAAUAACUUUCAACAACAAUAAGAUUAAAUAACUUUUAAAGAGUAAACAUAACAAACCAUGUAAUUGUGAGAUAAAGUGAAACGGUUAGGUAUUAAUUGCAUCCAAAAGUGUUAUGAGAUGAAAGCAUAUGUACAGUCAAAUGUAAAAUGUAGAAUAAAAUACCCAAAAUACCUUUUCUGAUCUUUACUUGUUUGAUAUGAAUAGAUUUAGUGUUUUUUUUGUUAGUGUAUUUGGUGUGUUCGGAAAAUCAAAGGUACUCUAAAGUCUUGUUUGUCGAAAAAUAGUUUAUUUCAAGCGCAAGUAAUUAAAUUCACCUAUGUAAACAUUGCAAAUGCCACUCUAUGCCUGAGUUUGGGAUGGAAAAGAAAAGAAUGAAAACUUAAUUUUCAUGUUACUGAGUUUAUAAAGUAAAAAAAAAAACUUAAAUUUUACAUUUAAAUUACUAAGUUGUCCUUAUAUUAAUUUUAUUAUGUUUAUAAUCUAGAAGGUAUAAUAAAGAUUAUAAAAGAUGAUCUUAUGUUAUUUAAUUUAUCGUCCAAAUCCGUUCAUUUUUGGAUGAAAAAAUUUGGCAAAAAAAAGGUUAUAUUUUUCGUCCAUUUCUUUUCUUUUCAUUUUCGUCAAAAUACGCAAACAAACAGCCCAAACCCAAGGCGAAAAUGAACAGCCCUCACGAUUGUCCUCCAAUUCCAGGCUUAGGCAGGGUUAUGCGGCGUACGUUUCUCUUCCGCCUUCUAUGUUAUCUUCCUCUCUUUAACAUCCCAACUAUUUUUGUAUCCCCGAGACCAGAGGUGGAAGCUUUUAGUUCUAAACGGCGUGUCAUGGUUUGAAAAUUCGUUUUCAAUUUCUAAAACUACUGUUUAAUUUAUGUUACAUCUUGAUGCUGGAUUUGCUUCUCUUGUAAAUAGAAAGUAUAUAUAGUUGUUUUUUAAUAGAAUAAAUAGAUUUUUUACUUGUUCUUCCCAUUUCUAUUUAUAAAAAUCUACUCAAGUUUUAGCUUCAUUUUUCUGUCAAUGUUGUUGUUCAUCUUCCUUUUGCUUGGUUGACUUGUAGGACUUUAAGUUUUUUUAUUAAGUUCUCUCUGUCAAUGGCCGACUUGGAAGGUUUAAAUCAUGGUUGGUAAGGCAUCGUCUUGGUUGACUAGGCGUCCAAGCGGUUACUCAAGGACUAGGCUAGGAUAUGCUUUAGUUGAACUUCGUAGUCAAGUGCCUAGACAGUCAAGUAGUCGCUUUUGGUCGCCUAGGCGACGACUUAGACAAUUUCCUGUUGCUUUCCGACCAAGUGUUUUACGGAUAACCCAUAACUCUAAGAGAAAGAAAGAGAUGAAGAGAGAAACUCUUACUAUGAUACACGAAAUAUGUUGAUUUAUGUUUGGCUUUUAUUUGAGUAUGGCUGUAUGUGUCAGUAUGAUCCAUUUAUUACCCAAACAAGCUUUCGCUAAAGGUUUACAACCUUCGAGGUUUGUAUUGAGUUGCUCAGAUUUGAGUUGGUUGAGAUUCGUUUAGCUACCGAGUCUAGCACAUAUAUAGAUCCAUGUCUUCCACUCAAGUAAUUCAUCGAACUUUAAAUUUUGCUCAUAUUUGAAUUGUAUCUAUUUAAAAUCAAGCACAAAUAAAAUUUUUAAUCGAAUGAGUACGAAUCAAGUUCGAACCACUUGGUUCAUUUUACAGCCUUGCAUGUAGGUCCAUGUCUCCCACUCAAGAUAUACUCCUGGUUUAGUGGUUUAACAAGACUAAUACAUAUGUGAUCAUAUAAGUUGCCACGUGUUAGCUCCAAGUUACAAAUUUAAAUUAAAUAUUUUAAAUUUCAUGUUUAUUUAAUCUCUAAGCCGACAUUUAAAUUCCCACUUAAGUUGACCUAAUAAUUAUCUUUUAUAUUCAAAUAUAUCCUAAAAGUUUGAUAUUCUUUAACUACACAUCCUUGAACUUUUUGUUCUUUUGCAGUUUUCGCCCUUUUUAUAGUAAAGAUAAAAUUGACUUUUAUGUGUGUGUGUAUAUAUAUAUAUAUAUAUAUAUAUAUAUAUAUAUACAUAGAUAUUAUAAAUUGUGCAUUGUUAACGACUUGUUACCUUGUAGAUGACUAUUCAGGUGCCUUAUCACCUAAGCACUUUAGUUCCUGACUACCGUCUUGCCUUAACAAUUAUGGUUUAAAUAUUCUAUUUAAUUAUCUUUGUCAAUGUUGCUCACAACCUGUUUGAUAAUACGCCAAUGUCGCCAUUAGGAUUUUGAAUUUCAUGAUGUUUAGGAUUUUUCGUUCUGAUAUUUUAUACAUAUUUGAUCUGUUCAUAUAUCGUAAUACAAUGGUUGUUGAUAUGUUCCAUUUAGUGAUAUAAAAUGAAAUAUAGUAAAAAUAAAAAUAAAAAUUGACUUGUAUAUGUGUGUGUGUGUGUGUGUGUAUAUAUAUAUAUAUAUAUUAUACCUAUUAUUUCAAGUUUUAAUGCAUAUAAUUUUCCUAAAUUUAAUGUAUUUGAGAAGUACAAUACAUAUAAAAUUAUACAUAUAUAAAUUGUGCAUUGUUAACGAUUUGUCGCCUUGUGGACGACUAGUCCGCGCCUAAGCGCUUAAGCUCCAGCUACCGCCUCGCCUUGACUUGUCGUCUUGACAACUAUGGUUUAAAUCUUCUAUGUAAUUAUCUUUGUCAAAUUUGCUCACAACCUGUUUGAUAAUAUGCCAAUCUCGUCAUUAGGAUUUUGUAUUUCAUGAUGUUUAGGAUUUUCGUUCUGUUAUUUUAUACAUAUUUGAUCUGUUCAUAUAUCGUACUACAAUGGUUGUUGAUAUGUUUCUUAAAUGGUUCCCAUUGCCGUCUAGGUAGAAGUUCUCAUCUUGAUGAAUCAUAAAAUCUAUUGAGUAACUCUAAGAUGCCCAAUUCUUAACAUCAUUUGGUGUUUAUGAGGUGUGGUGUUUGGAUUAUGAGAAAGUUAGAGAAAAUGGGGAAAUAGGGGAUAUGAACAGUAAGGGAGAAGGAGCUAGACGAUGAAGGAAGAGAAAAAGAAAGAUGAAUAUUUUGUUUGUAUAAAAGAGCAUACCAAAUUUAGCUUGUAUAUUUUUAACGGAGUUAAGACAGGAAGUGGGAAGCCAGGAAGUGGGAAGCGGGAAGCGUUGUUGCACUUAGCCUCACAAUUAUAGGUGGGUUAUGUGUUACUUAUAAAAGUUAGGUGGUGGUAUGAGAUUUAGUGUAUGUUAUUAGAUGAAGAAAAUGAAUGUGCAUGUGCUUGCAUAAGUUCAAUUGCUCACGAGUAGAAUCCAUUGUAUUUAUGACAGUCAUGGAAUUGUGAGCGAAAUGCCUAACCACUUUUUAAGCUGCAUAAGUAUGAUCAGAUUGAUCUAGGAAACUAGUAAUUGAAUUUUAGAAAAAGUCCAAUGUUCUUAAGUUGAUGCUUUAUGCUUAGGCUUAACCAAAUGGAAGCACCCACAUGAUUUAGAAAGGGUAGUGUACAAAAACGUAGUAAUUACCUGGUGGAGUAUAACCAAUAGAUCCUUUCACCCCAAUGGAGCUUGUUUGCUGUGAAGAAAACUUGUUUGCGUUUCCUAGAUCUAUUCUUGCCAACCCAAAAUCACCAACAUGGCCAAUCGUUUCUCCGUCAAGAAGAAUAUUGCUUGGUUUGAUGUCACAGUGCACAAUUGGGGUAGGACAAUGAUUUUGAAGAUACUCAAUCGCACUGGCAAUGUCAAUAGCAAGAUUCAACCUUUGUAUGACGUCUAACUGCCUAGGUCCUUGAAAUUGUUUCCCUGAUAGUCAACCCCUGAACAUGAAGUUAGCACCUUGACAAGAUUCCGAUGUCUGAUAUUCCUCAAAGCCUCACAUUCAGUUGAAAAACUUUUUGAACUCUUUGCCGCUCAAGAUUGAGUACUUUUACUGCAAUAACUCUUCCGCUUUCGAGGACUCCCUUAUACACCGAACCAAAACUACUAGCACCAAUCAAAUUUGUUGUAGAAAAGCCGUCUGUUGCCUUAAGAAGGUGAUGAUAAGAAAUUCGCAAGAGCGAAUACUCUUUUGAACUCAGAAGUGAAUGUUUUCUAUUCUUUCGAAUGAUACAAAAAUAUAAAGAACACAACACCAAUGUCAAUCCUAAAAAUCCAAAAACCACAGGGAGUACAAUCUUUAAGGCCGGAGUUGAUCUCUUUUUCUUAAGCGCUUUAAAAUUGCAUAUAGGAAGAUAUAAUGCAGUCACACCCCCACAAAGCUUGUAGUUUCCGUUCGCAAACACUACACUUGUGUUCUUAAAAUGCCUUUUGUUGGUAAGGAACCUUCAAAAUCAUUGAAAGAAAGAUUCAAGUCUUGCAAGUCAAAUUCCCCCAAAAAGUCUAGAAUUUGUCCACAUAAAUUGUUGUGAGAGAGAUCAAUGAAUUGAAUGUCGUGCAACAAACUCAACUCUGAUGGAAUAGUCCCUUGAAAAAAAUUCCUUUCCAUAUGCAAAACUUCCAUACUCACGCAACUACUAAGAGAGGUAGGAAUAUUGCCAUAUUACAUGUUAGAAACAUCCAAUUCAUUUAGAUGCUUCAAAUUUCCAACUUCAGUAUGAAGCAAAUUAACCGGUAGUUGGUUAUGAGAUAAUACUAAAAAUAAAGAUAACGAAGAGAGACCGAAAAGUACUUGCGGUGGUAUUUCGCCAGUAAGGUUGUUUUGAGAAAGAUCCAGUGCUAGCAACAUUGAGAGAUUUCCCAAAGUUGAUGGAAUGCUGCCUUGGAGAUUAUAUAUUUCCUCCUAGGGAUAGUUUGGUUAGAAGAGUUAGAUUUCCAAGAGAGGAUGGGAUUAUUCCUGAGAACUAGUUUGAGGAUAAAUCCAAAAAUUGUAGCUUUUGAAGCUUCCCAAUACCUGGAAAGGUGUUACCUGUAAAUUGGUUAUCUGACAUUUCCAAGUAGUUCAAGUUGAACAAAUUCUACAUGUCAUUUGGAAUACUACCAGAUACCUUGUUUUCUUCUAAGAACAAUUUGGAAAGUCUAAUGGAGAGAUGGGUAAUAAAUUCAGGUAAUACCCCUCCAAAAUUAUUAUUAGCAAUAUAGACAAUGCUUAAAUUGGUUGCAUUGGUCAGAGAAGAGAUGAAGCUCAAGUCACCAUCCGCGUAUCCUCCACUCCCAAGAUGGUUCCUCGCAAUGCUGAAGAGUGAAAGCUGAUGUAGCUUUCCAAUAUCGGGCACUUUUCCAGUGAGGCAGGCAUUUAUGGCAGCAAGAGUCACUAGAUUCGACAGAUUGGACAUGGAAACAGGAAGUGAUCCGGUAAAAUUGUUUCUGCUGAUGCGAAGUAGCUCAAGAUUUGGCAUUGUGUUACCCAUAUCGGAGGGAAGACUAUCUCUGAUUCGGUUAUAAGCCAUAUAAAAAUGCCGAAUAAAGACAGGUUAAAGACCUGGGAAGGGAUGGCACCUGAAAACCUGUUAUUUUCCAGUACCAGAACUUCCAACCUUUUUAGCUGUCCUAAAGUGUUGGGAAUACUGUCGUCAAGAAAAUUGUUCCUACAAGUUUCACAAGAGACGAUAAGUUCCCAAAGGAAAGAGGGAUACCACCUGUUAGUCUGUUGUGUGCCAUUUAAGUUACUUGGAGCUCUCACAGGGAUCUGAACACGGCUGGAAUAGUACCUGCUAUCUCAUUGUAAGAAACAUCGAAGUUAACAAGAUUUGAACAAUGAGAUAAGUUGGAGGGAAUAACACCGCUGAUUGAAUUAUCAAACCACCUCAAGAUUUGUAGUCUUUUUAAACGUCCGAGUUCAGGGGGGAUUUCAGACAUCAGGCUAUUGUUGUGGAGGCGUAGGGUCCUAAGAAAGCUCAAGCGCGCCUUGCCAUUGACAAAAGUGGAUGGACUCAUUCCAUGUGCUAAAAGCAUUUAAAGGAUCAGUAAGUAUUUUGGCCUUGAAGUUUAGCAGUGCUAUCUUGUCUGUUUUAUUCCCAUGAUGAACAGCCAAAGCCAAAGCCAAAGCCAAGAAGAAAGUAAAAGCAUUACUAAUGUAAGCCAAAAGUUUCAUUGGAUCUUAGCACGGAGUAUUUGUGACCGUGUCUGGUUAGAAAGCUGAGAAACUGCAGAAGGGAAAAACAAGUUAAUACCAAAGCUUGAUUGAAGAACCUUGCCUGUUCGGGAACGACUUAUUUUAAAGUUAGUUAUAAGUUUAAAUAUAAGUUAUUUUAAGUUCUGAAUUAUAACUAAAAGCGUUUGGCAUCAAUUUGACUUAUAAGUCAGUAAUGAAGUUAAAAUAAGUUAUGAUUUAUGAAGGUAUUUGGCUCGUAAUAGUUAGAAUUUGAGCCAAAAUUAAAGUGUGUUUAAUUAAUUAUUUAAAGUGAAUUCACAUAUCAAUGUGUUCUACUCUACGAGUAGAUUAAAUUAAGUAUUUGGAAGCUCAAAUUUAUGAAGUAAUGAAUGAGAUAUUAACUCUCAAAGAUUACCCUUGAAAAUGAUAAAUGAUAAUAAAUACACGUGGGAAGCCAAGUCUCACAUUGGUUAAAAACUAAAAGUUUAAUAUGUUUAUAUUAUAAGGAAAUUGCUCUUAGGUUUGGGUCCCAACCCCACUUUUUUGGAAGGGAGAAGACUUAGCCAAGGUUUGGUUCGAAUCCACAUGCGCGUCGCCGAUCGGCUUGGCCUGACUCGAGGGUCUGGGUUCUUGUAUAUAAUUUUUUGGACAAAAUUAAUUUAAAUUUAAUUUUAUUUUAGUUCUAUUAUCAAAACUGUGUUCUUUUGAUAAAUAUUAUUUAUUAUCAAUACUCUGUCGUUUUGGGAAGCGGUAUCUGCCGAACGGACACGUUUUUGGGAAAGACUAUCUGCUUGAACGGACGCCCUAAAACUUCGUCGUUUUUGUUUGAACGGACGUGCCUUUUCUGCUAAAGACUAAGACUACGUCGUUUUUGUUCUAAUAAGACUAAAACUACGUCGUUUAGUAGGUCGGAUGGACCUUUCUGUUAAGCCUUAAAACUACGUCGUUUUGGCUAAAUAGUACAUUUUCAAGGGGUUAAUGUCCCUUCUGAAGGGUCACUAAUCCCUCCUAUAAAUAGAUAGGAGGGGGCAGCCAUUUUAUUCAUUCAAUUCAGAAGCAUUCUAGUCAUAUAGUCUUUCAUUAUUCAUAGUUUAUUUGAGAGAGAUUUUCAGAGCAUUUUUCUUUGGCUCGUAGAAUAUACUAAUUGGGGUGCUACUUUAGUAUAUGUUGUCAUUGUAUCAUGGGAGACAAAUGUUAUCAAUUCUGAGCACCAUACGGAGGACAUAAUUGUCUUAAGGACAUAGUACCAAGUACUAUCAUUUGACAAAUUUAUUUCUGCAGUUUUGAGAUGAGUUAAAUAUAUAUAUAUAUAUAUAUAUAUAUAUAUAUAUAUAUAUAUAUAUAUAUAUAUAUAUAGAGCCCCGUUCAAGAGCAUUAUGCUUAAAUAACAUUACACCCUUAAAUGACAUGACUAUAAAAGCCUGCUGUGUUAUUUUUUUAUCUUCUCUCUUCACUUUGUUUGUAUGCCAAAACCAAAAAGGCUUCUCUCUCCUCACUCGAUUUUGUAAGACGAGCUUCAGACUUCAAAAAACCUUCUCCUCAAAAUUGAAAUCGAAUGAAACCCUAGAAAGAAAUCAAGUCUUCACAAAAUUGAGCGGUAUUUGUCCAGAUCUCGAAUAUCUUCACAAAACCAAGUUUUAUUUGUCCAUAUCUCGAAUUGGAGAAGAAAUCGUGCCCUAGAAUCUGAACACGGAAGAAAUCGAAAGUCGGAAGUCUUCACAAAUCGGUAAGCCCUUUUUUCACAAACCGUGCCUUCUCGUUCUAUAUUCUUCCUUAUUUGUACGAAUGAUAUGAAAUUAAAACAGAGCACAAUACUCCCACUAAAACAAAGCACAAUACUCCCCCCUCGAGACAGGUUUCCUGGAAUGACUAGUGAGCAUGAAAAAACUAGUAUUUUAUACAAAUUAGUUGACUCUUAUAUGUAUGUAUAAUUGAUUUUUGAGCAUACACUGGUCGCUUGUUUUAUUUGUUUAAUUAAUUAAUAAUACAAAUGUAUUAGCAUUCAUCCUGGUGUCCAGUACAGUUGUGUGGGAGACUUUACAUAUAUGGUAGAAGAGAAAGAAGAAUCAAAUUAGCUAAGCUGACGAUUAAUGGAACGAUGAAUAAACAGCAGAAUAACAAAUUUAUGAGUGCUAUAAAAUUUUGUCAGAAAUCUUAUAGCAACAAGGCAACAAAAAGUGGUUUACAACGUUUUUAAUAACAAAAAAUGGUUUUUUGUUUGCAAAUAAUAAUGGUUUAACUCUCCUUAUUUUAGUCCGAAACUAUGAAUGUGUUUUAUUUUGUUAUCACUACAGGGUCGAAAUUUAGAUAAUGAUAAUACUUUGUAUAAUUUAAUUGUGAUGUCCUGUAACAGCAGAAUAACGAUAUUAGUGUUUUUAUUCGGUUUGUGAAAUUUGCUAAUAAAUAGCAUAAUAAACCGUGACUUCUCUUUCUAUAUGAAAUUAAAACAGAGCACAAUAAUCUUGCGUCAAGGUGUAAUGCAUGCUUGUGUGAUUUCUUCUCUAUUUGUUGAAGUAAAUGAUAAGAGUUAACUCAGACUUUGAUUUUCAUAUUAUACCAACAAUAAUAAUAUUGGUGAUCAUAAUUCUUAGUAAUGUUUGUGUUUUAACAUAUUUGAAUAUCCCAGCCACUGUUCAAAUUCUGUUUUGGAAGUGAUUUCAGAAUUAUAGGUACUGAAAUGUUUGUUUUUAUUGAAGGGCAAUAAUUUGAACUUUAUGCAUUACUGGUGAUAAGAAAGAUGAGAAAGGAUUUAGUAUUUUGAAAAUUUUGAUUAAUAUGGUUUGAAAAUUGCCUUGUUUUCUUCUUCAUGUGGAUUUCUGCGUAUCUUGAUGACUUUGAAUGCAAGAGAGAUCAGUGUUUGAUAGAUUGAAGAUCAGUGAUGGUCUUAUUUGUAAUGUAUGUUCUGAAAAAAAAAUUCUUUUUUGACAGUCCCAUGGUUGUGGGUACUUCAUGUGGUAUGAUCCUCCAAUGCAACCAAGAGCCAUUCAAGUGAUACCUGGUCUGUUGAGGAGGUUGAGGGCUAUGGAAAAUGAAGCUCAAAUUUUUUGACGCAAACAAAGGAUUUACUUGAUAAUCAUAUGGUUUCUUUGAUUUUGCUACUUUGGAAUUUCUUUGGAACCAUCUCUGUGCAAGAAGAUGCCUAAACAGGAAAAAAAUUGUGAUUAGAAUUUGGGAGAUGGAGCAAAUAGGAUGUGUGAAGUUCUUUUUUAAAUGUAAUGAAUUGAUUGUAAUGAAGCUUUGUUGUACUCUGUUUUUAAAACUUAGUUUAGACUGAGUCUGUAUGUUAUUUGGAUUUACAAGGAAUUACUAGAUGUUCCUCUAUGGAAGUUUUCUGAAUUACGGAAUUCUUUGGCUUGAAAACAUUAAUUAGAUAACAUGGCAAGAGGCAGGGGAGCCAAGGUGGUGUCUUAAGUGCAAUUAGUCAAAAUCAAUCCAAACUGGAUGCUUUCAGC
rnacentral:lncRNA from 1 species